GAGUUUGAUCCUGGCUCAGAUUGAACGCUGGCGGCAUGCCUUACACAUGCAAGUCGAACGGCAGCACGGGAGCUUGCUCCUGGUGGCGAGUGGCGAACGGGUGAGUAAUGCAUCGGAACGUAUCCUGGAGUGGGGGAUAACGUAGCGAAAGUUACGCUAAUACCGCAUAUUCUGUGAGCAGGAAAGCGGGGGACCUUCGGGCCUCGCGCUCUUGGAGCGGCCGAUGUCGGAUUAGCUAGUUGGUGAGGUAAAGGCUCACCAAGGCGACGAUCCGUAGCAGGUCUGAGAGGAUGAUCUGCCACACUGGAACUGAGACACGGUCCAGACUCCUACGGGAGGCAGCAGUGGGGAAUUUUGGACAAUGGGGGCAACCCUGAUCCAGCCAUGCCGCGUGAGUGAAGAAGGCCUGUGUAGAGU
rnacentral:rRNA from 1 species